GAUUAACGCUGGCGGCGUGCAUAACACAUUCAAGUCGAACGGUGACGGGGCUUCGGCCCCUGAUCAGUGGCGGACGGGUGAGUAACGCGUGAGCAACCUGCCCUUGUGUGGGGGAUAACGUUUGGAAACGGACGCUAAUACCGCAUAACCCAAUAGUACGGCAUCGUACAGUUGGCAAAGAUUUAUUGCACAAGGAUGGGCUCGCGUCUGAUUAGGUAGUUGGUGGGGUAACGGCCUACCAAGCCCGCGAUCAGUAGCCGGACUGAGAGGUUGAACGGCCACAUUGGAACUGAGAUACGGUCCAGACUCCUACGGGAGGCAGCAGUGGGGAAUAUUGGGCAAUGGGGGAAACCCUGACCCAGCGACGCCGCGUGGGGGAAGAAGGUCUUCGGAUUGUAAACCUUAAACAACAGGGACGAAACAAAUGACGGUACCUGUUAGGAAGCCACGGCUAACUACGUGCCAGCAGCCGCGGUAAGAC
rnacentral:rRNA from 1 species